UAACAAUUGGCGUGUGAAUAUAAAGAAAUCCGUGCUUGUUAAAAAAUGUGUGAGUGGCAUAUGCAAGCGCAUUUCGAAUUCUAGCAACUGCAGAUAUCGUGUUGGUCCUAGGGCGGAGAUGAACGACAUCUCUGAGAAACUCGAGAGUGAGUUUGGUCUUCGGUAAAGGAUACCGAGCGGGAUCAACGGGACCGACAUGAACGACAGCAUCAGCCCGAAGUUCAACUUUCUGGUGCUUACCCGGCGGAGGAAGCUUGAAGACGCCGUCGACAACCACGCAGGUUCCAGUGGGAACAAUCUGGCCAAGAUCCGCCACAGACGCCUCGAUGAUCACUUGGAGAUUCUGAGGGCAUGAGCCGUCGUUCAACUCGAGAAAGGCGAAAGCGUCCUUGUCGGCCUUUCUUCCAGUUUUGACCCAACCACCGACGCGUACCUUCUGGCCGGCGAGGCCUGCGCCGCCGUCGGGCCGGGAGACAAUUGUACGGAUCGGAACACGGUCUGAGAAUUCAGCUUUGAGAGAGUCGUAAGUGGGAGCAUCGUUGUUCAAGGUGACGGCGGCGAGUUGGUCGGCGGGUGGCGCGGAAUGCUCUGCCAUUGGCCCG
rnacentral:misc_RNA from 1 species